rnacentral:lncRNA from 1 species
AUUUAAAAAAAAAAAAAAGAAAACCCUCUGAAGGAGGGAUGAGGAAGGGUUCCCGGAGUUCCCUUGAACCUCCGGCCAAAGGUUUGCACGCGCCCAUGCACCACCGUCAACGGCGCUAUAUACGGCGGUCAGAAGCUGGAAAGCUUCCUGUUUCACCACAAAUCAAAACGGUACGUCCCUUUUGUUCUAUUUUUAUGCUUUUAAUAUGUAUUUAGAGAGAAAAAAAAGAAAUAUAGUAAUCACCUAUGUAUUCUCCAGUCGACUGUUGAUUUCUUUUAGUGUAAAAUGCGUUCUUGUUUUUUAUUGAAUCUCCUUAAAAAAAAUUCUCCUUACAUCGUUUUAAUUCGGGCUUUUUAUAGCCACUAUACAUAGUAUUUUACAUAUUUAAUGUUAUUUCCUGCCAUAUUUGUGUUGCCUCUGUCGUUCUUCUUUCCCCUUUUGCAAGUACCAACGAGGAGAUUUAGCAGUGAACGAACGCUGACAACGGUACACCGGCGUUGAUUCGGGCGUCGACCACGGCAUGAUUCGAAGCCUGGAAUCAUGGCCUGGAACCACGGCACUGAUAGUGGGUAACUGGAACGACGCGAGAUGAACAGACGCGUUGAUUGAAAUGUUUGCGGCGCUUAGGGUUUCUGAAACCCUAGGCCUCUCUGUCUUCCAUUCGUAAAUUGGGCCACUUGGGCCCUGUGUAUUUUGGGUAGCAUACAGGCUUGGGUGUAAUUGGGCCCUGGUUAGUUUUAGGUAUCUAGGCUAAGGGUUUUAGGCCUUUUGGGUGCAAAUGUAAACGGGUAAUGGGCUGUAAAUGUAAAUGAGUUUUGGGCUUUGUACAUGGACUGUAUAAACUUUAUUAUUUUUUUAAUUUAUGUUUUUGUUUUUAUUUAUUCAUUUAUGGGCUGGGCAAAUUUAGUUAUUACAAUAUGAUUUACAAUAUAAUAUAUC